UCUCUUUCUUUUCUCUUUCCUCUCUUUUUUCUUUUACUCAUACCCAUCCCAUCUCUUCAUCCAAGCAGAGAGAUGGGGUCUCCCUAUGUUGCCCAGGCUGGUCUCGAACUCCUGGACUCAAAAGAUUCUUCUGCCUUGGCCUCCCAAAGUGCUGGGAUUACAAGCAUGAGCCACCACACCUGGCCCAGGAUUGAAAGGCCUUGCAACAACCCAUGAGAUCGGUGAUGACUGCCCGCAUUUGCCAGCUUUGCAGGGAGAGGUCAAGACCAAGACGAUCUUCAGGCCCAAGGGAGGUAGGCAGGAAGCUUGCAAAGCCCACCCCUGGGAAGAGAGGAGGAAGCUGAGGCUUGAGCUGGAGCUCAGAAAUGGGGCUGGAGUUCCUCAUCAUUAUCUCAACUACCCUUGCCUGCUGGCCUGGAGGAUGAGGCUGGGACUGAAUUCUGGGCUUGGCCUGUCUCCACUGAGUCUGGCUGGCCGCCCUGCCUGUUGGCAGCUUGGAGUGUGGGUGCCGAGCUGGGCAUCUGGUGGGCUGGCUGGAGCUGGAAGACCCUGGGAAAGAUGAGGCCUCGCAACAACCCACGAGAUCUGUGAUGACUGCCCCCAUUUGCCAGAUGAGAAGCUGAGGCUCGGAGAUAUUGAGGAAUCUGUCGAGCGUGGUAGGGAGGGGAUGUGGGAGUCAAAUCCGGGUCAGAAUGGCUUUAAGACAUUUUCUUUGCCUUGGGCCACAGCUGCCUCUUCCUUGUUUAUGUUGUGGUUUUGGAGGAGGUAAAGGGACCCCAUCACUUCAAGUCCCUCCUCUGGGAAGGAGACCUCGUUCCAAGGUCCUUACUUUGUAGCUACUCAAUCAGGCCAGGGCCUCAGCUGGACCCUCAAGUGGCUGUUUUCACCGCAUGGGACUCCACAUGGGUAUAUGACAUUCCCUCUCCACUGCCUUGCAAUUAGAUGUGGGAGGCCCGGGCAGUUGACUCACCUCCCCCUACUCUCAGCCCAUCCCGGGAAUCUCAUCGGGACCUCUGGUCUCCUAUGCUAGCAUGGGCAUGGCCAGGCCAGCUGCACCCUCCUCUCUCACUCCAGCCUGGGUGAAAGGGCACAAGUGUGUCUGGGAAGCCAUUUCUCCCUGCCCACAGCCAUCCUGGUUCACGCUGUGACCUCAGCUGCCAUCCUUCCCAUUACCUGCUGUAUCCAGGACAACCGACAGCUCCUACUAUGCAGGGAGGGGAGGGUGAGGGGUGGGAAGAGGCGGCUCCACUGUCCUGACUCCCCAGCGAGCGUGCCACCUGUUCUGUCUGAGAAACUCAUGGCGGGAGGUAGAACCUCAGGUCCUUCAUGAGACAUAAGGAGGACUGUGGAGGACCUCAGAGGUUGAGGAAGAGGCUGAUUUGUAAACCAGCACCCUGGGCUCUGGCUGUUCCAGCCUUCAUGGAGUGGCGGGAACAGCAGGAAGGUGGAAUUAAAGGAACUGGGCUGGAUGUCCUCUGCCAGCUCUUAGCAGCUGUGUGACCUAAGGUAGGUCCCUUGACAUCUCUGAGUUUCCACGCAGAGAUGAUCAAUUCAUAGACUCACUAGGGACCUGCAAUGAAAAUAAAUGGACUUUGUAAACACUACAGCUUUAGUGUUAAGAGCACAUGCUCUUAACUGCACAGAAAGGUUGGGUUUGAAUUCUAGCCCUGCUGUGUGACCUUGUACAAAUGACUUCACCUCUGUGUCAGGUGCUUUUGCUGUGCAGCAAACACCUCACAACUCUGUGGCUUAAUGCAACAAACAUUCAUGUAGCUUGUGAUUUGGGAAUCAGCAAUUUCCACUGGGAUCAGCUGAGCUGUCCUGGUCUGGGCAAGGCUUGAAUGAUCUUGGCUGGGCUCACUCUUGUGUCUGCCAUUAGCUGGUGGAUGCCUGGAACUGGCUGAUUAAUUUGGCUUCCUCUGGGAUGAUGAACUAUGGGGCUCUCUCCACAAGCCUGCGCCUGUUCACAGAGCGGUAAAAGGGCUUCAGAGGCAGUGAGAGAGAAGCCCCAGUGUGCAAGCACUUUUUGAGCCCCUGCAGGCAUUAUGCUUGCUCCUUUCUUUUUAUUUUUUGAGACAGGGUCUCUCUCUGUCACCCAGGUUGGAGUGUAGUGGCAUGAUCAUGGUUCACUGCAGCCUUGACUUCCCAGGCUCCAGCGGCUCUUCCACCUCAGCCUCCUAGGCAGCUGGGACCACAGGCGUGCACCACCAUGCCUGGAUAAUUUUUGUAUUUUUGGCAGAGAUGGGGUUUUGCUAUGUUUCCCAGGCUGGCCUCAAACUCCUGAGCUCAAGCGAUCCAUUUGCCUCAGCCUCCCAAAGUGCUGGGAUUACAGGUGUGAGACACUGUGCCUGGAAUAUGCUUGCUUCUUUCUUAUUGGCCAAAGUAAGUCCCAUGGUCAAGUCCUGAGCCAGGGUGGGAGGGCACUGCCCAGGGUAGUGCAUGAACAAAUUGGGGGCCAUUACUGCAAUAAUCUAUCAUAACUCUCUGGGCCUCAGUUUCCUCAUCUGUAAAAUGAGCAUAAUAUUAUACUUUUCUCAAGGCCUUGUUGUGAGGGUUGAAAAGAAAUGAGCAAAUGUCUGUAAAAUGCACUCCAUGACUCAUGGCCAGAGAAGAAUAAGCAGUUCAUUAAGAGUGAGCUGUUGUUAAUAUUGUUAUUAGCAAGGACUUUGAGAGAGACAAUUUAAAAUCCCAUGCAGCAGGCUCUGGGCUGUGGGCCCUAGGAGCCAGCCCUGGGCCUGCUUUUCCACUCAGGGGAAGUGGGAGGUGCCAGGGAAAGCAGGUCCUAUGGAGGGGUCCAGUGUCUUCCCCAUUACAGCCCCUGAUGGAAUUCAGGGCUUUGUAUCUCUUCAGAACUGCUGCUAGUCUUCCCCAGGUUCCAAAGGGAUGACUUUGCUCCUUCCACUUCCCUUCUCUCCCUCCUUCUGGGCUCAGGGGACUUUAUUAUUAUUAUCUUGUUAAGUGACAGGGUCCCACUCUAUCACCCAGGCUGGAGUGGAGUGAUCCUAGCUCACGGCAGCCUUGAACCCCUGGGCUCAAGCCAUCCUCUCAUCUCAGCCUCUUAAGUAGCUGGGACUACAGAUGCAUGCCACCAUGCUAAUUUUUUAAAUUUUUUUUUGUAGAGAUGCGGUCUUACUAUUUCACCAGGCUGGUCUCGAACUCCUGGGUUCAGGCGAUCUUCCCGUGUGGGCCUCCCAAAGUGAUGGGAUUACAGGUGUGAGCCUCCGCACCAGGGUUCAGGGUAUUUUUGAUGAGGAAGAAAGUGGUCUGGGAAAGAAAGUGUCCACCUGAGGUGCUUGGUUCUGGGAGGAACUCCAAGCAUCUGUUAAGUUGGGGUUCCAAAACUUCUCUCCAUCAAAGCUCAUUUGGAUCUUUAGGGGACAAUUUGCAUUGUGUUCCCUGCCACAUUUUUUUCUACCACAACCCACACUCACAGGGAAGCCAACGGCCGUCACAUGCUCAUUUAAUGCCAUGUAGACACUGGCAGUACUGGGCUCAUAAGCUGGAAUUGGGUUGGGGUGUGUGAUGUCAUUAAUAGUUAACCAGAGUCCCUGGACAGUUGGGAAAAAUCAAUAAGGCUGCCAUCUUGGCGAGCUUGUGUAAGCUGUCCCAGGAAGGCGAGGAGGAUUGACUUUGUUAGACUUUUUAAAAUCUUGAAAACAGGAUUCACACAACUGCCUUCAUAGAGCCCAGCUCAGCAACCACAGGUCUGGUUCAACCUCUUCAUUCUGUGCUUCUAGGGGUCCUUUCUGAGCUCACCUAGGGAACCCAAGCAAGGAGGAUGGCUGGCUCUUCAUUCUUCUGAUCUUCAUUCUUCCUUGUGUGUUAGGUCCCCUGUCUUAGACACUGGAGAUAGGACAGUGAGCCAAUCAGAUGUGGGUCCUGCCCUCAUGGAAUUUAUGGUCUAAGGGAGAUAGAGAUUAACUGAUCAUAAGAAUAAAUGUAAAAUUAUAUGGCCAGAUGGUUUUCUUUUUUGAAAUAUUAAUCUUUCUUCUUUCUCUGGCAUUUCCUCUUUCUUUAUAGGGCAGUUGGACUCAGGAAAUUCACUGCUGCAGGGUAGGGAUGACUCAGUGGAAGUCAGUAGUCAGUUCUUGUCUUUUGAGUGUCAAAACUGAAGCUCAAAUGUGUGUGUGUGGGUGGAGGGUGGAGGUGGUGGUGGGUGGUGGAGGAUAGAAAGAACCAGGUGAAAACCCAAAGAUUUGGAAGGCGCAGGGUGAUUUCCUGGGCUGGGGGAAGACAGGGUGAUGGUGAGGGGUUGGGCUGUUGCUGGGUGGGCUUUGAAGAUGGGCCAUGUACCUGCCCGGAUCCUUCUCUGCCCCUCAUCCAAGGAGGUCUGGAGGGCCUGGGAACAGAGAAGACUUGUAUCACCAUCCCCAGGGUAAAGCUCAGGGAGGUGGAAGGGCCCCAGCAUUCCCUGAGCCAGUAGAGCACAGACUCCAUGGUGUUUUGGAGCAGAGUCUUAAGGCAGCCUUGAGUCUUCUGGGGCCAGGGCAGCUCUGCAACCCACCAGCUGAGGCUCACCCAGAGUCACCAUGGGGGGCAGGUCCUCCACUUGCCUCUGUUGCUGGGUCCAUGCCUGGACCUACCUACCAGGUGGGCCGCACACCUUUUCUUCUGGGGAGGAAAAUGUUUCUCUGAGUUUCACUUUUUAAAAAAUUUUGACAAAAGCAUAUUGGCCACUCUGGCUCUUCCAGCUCAGCAGCACCUGGCAUUGUUUUCUGACCACCUGAUGUGCCAUGUGCUGCCACCCACUCCUCUUAGCUGCCCAUGCUUGCCCUGUGAAAAAGGCGCCUCAGUGCGGAGGCUGAAGGUCAAGUAUGGGGAGGGGGAAUGAAAGAACCACAGGCUUGACCCUCAGCCACAAGGUCUCCCACAGUCCCUGGAACCACUGCGGGGCUGGGCCACUGUUGGGGGUCUGCCUUCCAGAUGCAGAGAGCGCUGGAGUGGGAGUCAGAGCAUGGAUAAGCCUGGCUAUGCCCCUGAACUGGCCAUGUGACCUGAGACAAGUCUCACUAUCUCCAAGCCUGUUACUUCAUUGAUAAAACAAGGACAAAAUCAGUGUGGUCAAUGAGAUAAAGGAUUUGAAAGAUCAAGUGUUGUUGUCAUAAUAAAAGUAGAUUUGCUGAGCACCAUGCCCUGAGCCAGGCACUGUGUCAAGAGGUGGCUCAGGUGAAUCUCGUUGAUUCUUCCCCACACGCCUGUGAUGUGGGAUGCAGACAUUAUUGUUACCCCAUUACAUAGAAGGGGAAACUGAGGCACAGAGAGCUCAAGGAAGCUGCUGAAGAUCAUAUAGUUCGUAUUUCGCAAGCUGGUAUUCAAAGCCAGGCUGGCAGAGCCCACACCGAGACCCCUUCUAUAUCAUGCAGCACUUUUGGAGAUUCCCUGGUAGGAUGGGGCAGAAAGGGACUCUGAGGCCAUCUCAUCCACUCAUCAUACAGAGAAGGAAACUGAGCCUCAGAGGAGGGAAUGGACUUGCUUACGAUCUCAAGCAGCCUAGACACCACAUUGAUAUAUGCAUGAAUAAAAUGUGAAACAUUACAUGUUCCUUUUGGACAAACGCAUGUGAAUCCACAAAAAGGACUUUCUGAGGAUGUCCAAACUUGCCCACAUGGGAUGCUCUAAUUUUGAAAAGUGCAGGUCUUGGGCAAGGCUGUGAUGAGGAGACGGGAAUGUGCGGGGGACCUUUGAGGACCACUAAGCACUGCUCAGAGCAGAAGGAACAAAGCAGGACCGCUGCCUCCUUCACCAGCCUGGAUUUGACUCCCAGCUUUGUCCAGAGAGGGAAUUGGUCCUGAAGAAACAGUCAGAGGUGAGCACUGAGAUGUAUGAUGCAGGGUGCUCACUGUAACACUGUUUCCAAGAAUGAAACAUCCGAAGGAACCUAAAUGUCCAACAACAGGGGACUGGUUAAAAAUGCCAUUGUAGUUUUGUCGGGUUCUAGAAUAUAAGACAACCGUUAAGAAUAGUGUUAUAGAAUAAGUGUCUAAAGGCAUAUGGAAUGUGUUCCCGGUUGUAUUUGUCUGUUUUCACACUGCUAAUAAAGGCAUACCUGAGACUGGGUAAUUUAUAAAGAAAAAGAGGUGUAAUGGACUCACAGUUCCACAUGGCUGGGGAGGCCUCACAAUCAUGGCAGAAGGUGAAGGAGGAGCAAAGCCACCUCUUACACUGCGGCAGGCAAGAGAGCAUGUGCAGGGGAACUCCCCUUUGUAAAACCAUCAGAUCUCAUGAGACGUAUUCACCAUCAUGAGAUAGUGAGAACAGCAUAAGAACAGCAUGGGAAAACCUGCCCCCGUGAUUCGGUUACUUCCCACUGGGUCCCUCCCACAAUACAUGGGGAUUAUUACAAUUCAAGGUGAGAUUUGGGUGGGGACACAGAGCCAAACCAUAUUGCCAAUAUAAAGUUAAGAAUAAAGUUGGUUACAACAUAAAGUGGGCCAUUGGAUUUCAGUUUUGUAAAAAGAAAAAAGAAAGUGGUAUAUACAUGGGUUGUGAUUUAUUUCUGCAUUGUGUUUUCUGGAGUUUCCACGUUUCUGAAACAUAUGGCUCUUGUCAUCAGAUCACCCUCCUAUUCUGUUAUUAAUGCUUUUCAGUAAGACAGGGAGGGGGCUUUCUGUCCCUGCAGGGCUUGGACAGCCUGGCUGGCCACCUGCCAGGGAGGUAGGGAGAUAGGGAGGCUACUCUCACAAUACAUGGAGGGAGGGUGUGUCCAUUCCCCUUCCUGGGAACUCUGAACCCUCAGCCUGUCUCAGUGAGGAAUAUUUUCCCAGACUAGGGGCUGAGCCCCAGCCCGGCCCAGCUUCUAUGUGCGAGAGUAGACCAGGAACAGAAGCAUUGCCCACGUUCCCUGGGGAACUUGUCUCCGUGAGGUGCCCACUGACAGGCUGGCUCAUUUGUUCAUUCAUUCAACAAAAAUCUCCUGAGCACCUACUAUGUGCCUGCCACUGUUUCAGGUGCUGAGAAUACAGUAGUCAAUAAAGUAGCAGCAUUGUUGUCCUUGUGGUGCCUGUAUUCUGAUGCAGACAAUGAGCAAUUGAAUACAUAUAUAAUAUAAUGUCAAGUGGUAAAACGAGCCAUAAGUAAAAAGGAGAGCCAAAAAAGAUAGAGAAGGAUAAGGAGGUGACAAUUUGGGGUGGGCUGGUCAGGGAAGACCUCUGUGAGGAGUGGCAGUAUUGAGCAGCUAGUUGAACAUUGAGAGGGUGCCAGCCAUGUGAAUACCAGGACAGAAAGUUCCAGGUUGAGGCAGUAGAAAGUGCAAAGGUCCUGGGGCAGGAGUGUGAUGGAUAUCUGAGGACAAGCUAGGGGAGACAGUGAAGCUGGGAAGACAUGGUUCAGAAUGUGAUUAUGGGAGGGUGGAGGGAGAGGCCAGACACUGGACUUGUGGGAGAAGAUCAAAGACACUGGUUUUUGUUCUGAGUGAGGUGGGAGCCUCCAGAAGUCUUUCAGCAGAGGAGUGAUGAGGACUGAUGUCUGUUUAGCAGGAUGGCCCUGGCUGGGCGGAGCGGGGAAAAAGCUGCUGCACCCACCCAGGGGAUCAGUGAUGGCAGCUGGACACUGACCUGCCUUCUGGGCCUGCAGCCAUCAGGUCAUCUUCCAGCUGUCCAUCUCCUGAAGGCUGGGAGGCCUGUGAGGCUUGGGUUCGCCCUCUGAUAUAGUUUGGCUCUGUGUCCCCACCCAAAUCGCAUGUUGAAUUGUAAUGCCUAAUGUUGGGGGAGGGACCUGGUGGGAGGUGAUUGGAUCAUGGCGAGGAAUUCCCCUUUACUCUUCUCGUGAUAGUGAGUGAGUUUUCAUGAGAUCUGAUUGUUUGAACAUGUGUAGCACAUCCUUCUUCACUCUUUCUCUCUCUCCUGCCCUGCCAUGGUAAGAUGUGCUUGCUUCCUCUUUGCCCUCCACCAUGAUUGUAAGUUUCCUGAGGCCUCCUAGCCAUACUUCCUGUACAGCCUGCAGAAAAGCAAGUCAAUUAAACCUCUUUUCUUCAUAAAUUACCCAGUCUCAGGUAGUUCUUUAUAGUUGUGUGAGAAUAGACUAAUACACUCUCCCUGGGGGAAGAGGCUGAGUGAGAUCCGGGGUGAUGGGGGGUGGUUGGGCCACAAGGUAAAAGUCUGCAGCCAGAACCUCCACUGGUCAAGGCUGCAGCCAGGGUGCUCCACCGCUCUUUCCCAUCAGCUGCUAGGAUAAACUCUCUCCCUGGAGAGGGAAGGGGAUGUCAGGAAGGAUGCCAGACACACAGACUGCUUCAUUCGUCCAACAAAUACUUACUGAGGAUUUACUACAUGGGAACAGCUGUGAACAAGAGAGAUCGAACUUCCUGGCCCUACAGAGCUCCCAUUGGAGUGGAAGGAGAAACACUAAACAAAUGAAUGAGUGAAAGAUAUAGUUGGCCAGAUGAUGAGGCUGGGAAGUCCAAGUUCCAGGUGACUGUGCCUGAUGAGGACCUUCUCUUGCUGCAUCAUCCCAAGGCAGAAGGUGGAAGAGCAAGAGAGCAUGCUUGUAUGAGAGAGGAAGGGGACCAAAGCCAUCCUUUAUAUCAGGAGCCCACUCCCGUGAUAACUAACCCACACCUGUGACAAUAAUAUGUGAUAUGGGGUUUUGUGAUGCUCCCUUAGGAAACUGGCUGUGAAGAUGCUUUGUAAAUGACAAAGACUGUGCACGUGUAACAGGUCAUAGAAUUGAUGGUGAUUCUUUACAACAGGUUUUCUGGCCGAGCACAAGUGCUCUUGGCCCUUUGAGCCUCAGUUUCUGCAUCUGUGGCAUAGGCCAAGCUCUGCCUGCUGUACAGGUUAUUGAGGAUCAACUGGGAUGGCAUAUAUUACACAAUUGUGUGUCCCCCAGAUGGAAGGACUGGCUGUUUCCCAGUAACAAAUAAUUGGGAGGUAACCUGAUUCAGCUUGGACAGAAAAAUCUACCCCUGAGCAGAGGCAUUUUGCUCCUUCCUUUUUGAGAUGAAGAAGAACAAAGAAGAAAACAGAAGGUGAGACAGAGAGAAAAUCUAUUGCUCUGUAGUCCCAGAAUCCCCAAGCAAAGGCACAGACACAGGUGACAAAAGUACUGGGCACUUCUGGGGGAUCAAGAAGCUUGUUCCAGCCAGAAGGAUCUCAACAGGAAAUUCAUGAUCACAUAAGAGGAGCCCUGAAGGCUUUUGAUGCCAAACCCGCCUGAAGUCACAGAACUGGAGUGUAGGCUGUGUUCAAGCUAGAAGAGACAUCCCUGCCCUCAAACCCAGAGAGGCCAGGCAGCAGCUUCUGCUGCUGUCUGCUACCAGAUGGGUCACCCUCUAUCUCUUAGACUUGAGAUGACCCCUCCCUGGCACAUCACCUCUCCACCCAGAGCUGUUCCUGAUAUUUAUUAGGCAGGAUGGAAUUUCAUUUUAUACAUAACAAAUAAAUAAGGUGUUCUUCUAAGUUCUUUAUAAACGUCAACUCAUUUAAUCCGUAACAGUCCAAUGAAUCCCAUUUUACAGGUGAGAAAACUGAGGCCCAGGGAGUUUACACAGCUGGUGAAUGGUGGAGCUGGGAUUCUAGCCCAGGCAAUCUGGCUCCUGAAUGAAGGCAAGGCAAUGAUUCUCCAAACACUGGAGGAAUGGCCAGGUCAGGCUGCAGAUCCGACCUGUGGUAGGAGGGACAGAAGCUGUCCUCUGGAGGCCCUCAGCAAGCCUGGGGUAGGUGCAGGACUCAGGGGAGUGUGGAGCCUGUGUUGACCUUGAUUCCCUGGCUAGCAUGGGGGAGCCCCUGAGAAGGCGAUGGGGGCCCCGUGGUCUGAUGAGCCUGGGCCCACCUGGAACAGUGAAGAGGUAGAGGGCCCCAUGGGAAGCCUCCAUUGCCUGGGCCUUUGCCUGAGACCACUGGACAUCUGGAUGAGAGAAAACAAAGGCUUGAUGUGUCAAGCAUUCCCUCUGUCUUCUCUGGUUUCUCCAAGCCCUUCUGGUCCACCAUGCUGCCUCCCCACUCCUCAGGAGCUUGACAUACUUAGUUUCCUCAGCCAGGAUUUUUCUUUUCUCCCCUAGCAUCCUCCUCCCUCAUCCCCCUGCCUCCCCAUUUCCAACCCAUCUUUCCCAUCUCAACUUGAACAUCACUUUCUGGGAUGUGGCUCUCAGUCCACAGGCAAUGUUGGCUUCUCCAGUUGUAGAUUCUCAGAGUGUCCAGAACACUCACUUUGUAGCUCUUUGGUCUCACCUGUAAUUAAACAAUUCAUUGUGCAGUUGUAAUUUCAAAAAUAGCAUUAUUGACCUGUACAUAUUUAGGGUUUAAAAUGUGAUAAGUUUUGACAUAUAUUAAAAGAAAUGGCAAAAACCACAAUUACUUUUGCACCAAUCAAAUAUACUCACUCAUUAAAACAUCACCACAGUCAAGAUAAUGAACAUAUUUAUCUUCCCUAAAAGGUUAGCUCAUGACUCCUUGUAAUCCCUCACUUCCUCCCGCCAACCCUCUCCACCCUAGAUCUAGUCAACUGAUCUAAUUUCUGAUUGGCAUUUUCUAGAAUUUUAUACAAAAAUAUUCUAUGAUGUAUACACUUUUUGGCUUCUUUCACUCAACAUAAUUAUUUUGAGAUUCAUUCAUACUGUUGUGUGUGUCAGUAGUUCCUUUUCAUUGCAGAAUAGUAUUUCAUUCUCUGGAUAAAGCAAAAUUUUUGUAACUAUUCACUAUUGAUGGAUAUUUGGGGUGAGUCCAGCUUUUGGUGAUUGCAAAUAAAGCUGCAAUAAUUAUCUGUGUAUAAAUCUUUGUAUGGUUAUAUGUUCUGAUUUUUCUUGAGUAAAUAACUUAAGAGUAGAAUGGCUGGGUCAUAUGUGGUUGGUGUAUGUUGAUGUUUUAAAAAACUGAUAAACAGUUUUCCAAAGUGGUUGUACCAUUUUACACUCCCUCCAGCAAUGUAUCAGAGUCCCACUUCAGCCACUUCCUUGCCAACUCUUGGCAUGUUCAGUCUUUAUAAUUGCAGCUGUUACAACGGAUGUGCUGCAUUAACUCACUGUGGUUUUAAUGUGUAUUUCCCUGAUGAUUACUGAUGGUGAGUAUCUUUGCAUUUUUCUAUUUGCCAUCCAUAUGUUUGCUUGGUGAAAUACGGGUUCAAAUGCUUUACCCAUUAUUAUUUUUGCAAUUGGGGCUGGGCCCAGUGGCUCACGCCUAUAAUACCAGCACACUGGGAUGCCAAGAAGGGAGGAUAGCUUGAGCCCAGGAGGUCAAGGCUGCAGUGAACCAUGAUCAUGCCACUGCAUUCCAGCCUGGGCAGCAGAAUGAGACACUGUCUAAAGAAAUAAAGAAAUAAAUAAAAAUAAAUUGGGUUGUUUAUGAUUGUAAGGUCUUUAUCAUUAGAUCAAAAGCUCUGUGAGGAUAGAGACAUCUUCUCUGUUCAUUGUUGCCGGUGAGGCUCCAGGGCCCAGCACAGUGCUAGGUAUACAGUUGGCAUUCAAUAAAUGUUUGUUAAAUGAAUGAAUGAAUGAAUGAAUGAAUUAAUGAAUGAAGGGCAUGUCUCUGUGUGGCUCAAGUUGGCCAAAUAUGCCUGUGGUAGGGUCAGGAGAGAGUCAGCAGAUAUGCCUGUGGUAGGGUCAGGAGAGAGGAGAGCAGUUAGACUCGACAAUAGCAGGAGAAGUGGAAGGUGAAAGAAGAAAGCAGGGCCUACAGAGGCUAUAUCCGGGUCCCUGGGAGGAUCCCUCACCCUGGCUCAGGACCCAAAGCUUUUUCGGUGAGCGAAUUCUACCCAAAAUUUCAAGGACUUCUGGGGUCCAUUGUGGAUCCCAGCUUAUUCCUCUCUAUUAUCAGGUCCCCCAGAGACCGUAUGCCAAAGGCUUGCUGAUGGGGAAAUGGCAAGCCUGGGAAGAGGCUUGUGGGGAGAUUUUAGGGCUUCAGUCACAGCUGCAUGCCCUGCCCAGAGUGAACAGUCUCAGACUUUGAACACAAAAUGGCACUGCCUUGAAGGCUGAACUGACCCUAUAACCACAAGACUUGAGCUGCUGAUCCCUGCAAGACAAGCCUAGAGCUCACGGGGGAAUCCUUCCAAAAAGUCUGAAAGCCGGAGCUCCCUUUUCCACCUCCUCAUUCUCCCUUUGUCCCAGAGACAGCUCUCAUGCUCAUGGUGGGCAUGGCAUUUAGACUUUCAGAGUUAUUUCCAAAUGAGGUUUCAUAUCAGCCACUGGAUUGUGCAUAGGCGGUGGUGAAAGCCUCAAGUAGUUACAAGCAAACACUUAAUGUAGGCCACAAGGCUCUGUACCGUGGCUUUGCCUUUCUCCAGUCUGCACAAGGGUGCCUCCACUUGUCAACCUGGGUUGUCUCCACCUGCAGGAAGGGCUCCCUUCUUUAAUUGUUGGAUGGGCACCCAUUAAUUUGAAAGGAGAAACAAGGUGUGUAGGCUAAGAUCAUCCAUGCAAGUACUAACCCGGCUUUGCUAUCGUCUUCAUUUUUAAUAUCUGGUGAGCCUCAGAACCUGGAGGCCUUAAAGUUUCCAGCUCAAGCUCUGUGGGGCUGAAACAAACAAACAACAAGUGGACCAGGCGGUGGGGGCUUUGGGGCUGAGGGGCACUGGGCCAUGCAACCUCCUCCCUUAUGUCCCAAGACAAGGGAAGAAGGAAGCCCAGGAUGUGAACCCCAGGAGGGUCUUUAGGUCUAACGAGGUACAGUCAUAGAUGGACAUCACAAAACCUUCUUGAUCUACAAAUGGAUGAGAACCAGGGAGAGGUGACCAUGAGGAUAUUGAAACAGCACUGGUUUCAGUCUCAACUCUGCCGCUUAUGAGUACCGGAUCCAUCACUUACCCUCUCUGAGCCUCAGCUUCCUCAUCUGCAACAUAGGAAUAAUAAUGUUCACCUCAUGGGGCUGAUGAGAGGUGUGAUGGUUAAUUUUACAUUUCAACUUGGCUAGGCCAUGGUACCCAGAUAUUUGGUCAAACACUAGCCUGGAUGCUGCUGUAAAGGUAUUUUUUAAGGUGAGAUUAACAUCCAAAUCAGUAGGCUUUGAGGAAAGCUCCUUCAUAAUGUGAGUGGGCUGCAUCCAAUAAAUUGAAGGCCUUAAUAGAAAAAAUGACUGAUCUCCCCCGAGGAAGAAGGAAUUUGGCUAGCAGACUGCCUUUGAACUUGAGCUAUAAUAUCGACUCUUCCCUGUCUAGUCUGCCAGCCCACCCUGCAGAUUUUGGACUUGUGUGAGCCCAUUUCUUAAAAUAAAUCUCCUUCUGUCACACACACACACACACACACACACACACACACACACACACACACACACACACCCUGUUGGUUCUGGCUCUGUUUCUUUAGAGAACUCUAAUACAGGAGGAUUAAAUGAUAAAAAAUAUAAUGACAGAUGCAAGACAGAGUACAAACUGUGUGAUUCCAUUUAUAUGAACUUCCAGAAAAGGCAAAUCUAAUCUAUAGUGAACAAAAGUAGGCUAUGGUAGCCCAGGGCUGGGGUUGGAGGAUGGACUGCAAAUUGGCACAGGAGACUUUUUGGGAUGAGGAAAUGAGAUGUGGUUUUGUGGGUAUACACAUUUGUUAAAACUCAUCAAAUUGUAAUAUUAAAAAUUGGCCAGAUGUGGUGGCUUACACCUGUAAUCCCAGCACUUUGGGAGGCCGAGGCAGGCAGAUCACCUGAGGUCAGGAGUUUGAGACCAGCCUGGUCAAAGGGUGUAACUCCGUCUGUAAUAAAAAUACAAAAAAUUAGCCGGGCAUGAUGGCAUGUGCCUGUAGUCCCAGCUACUUGGGAGGCUGAGGCACAAGAAUCGCUUGAACCCAGGUGGCAGAGAUUGCAGUGAGUUGAGAUUGUGCCACUGCGUUUCAACUGGGGUGGCAAAGCGAGACUCCAUCUCAACAACAACAACAAAAAAAGUGUUGGGACAACUAGAUACCCCCAUUUGAAAGAAGGAAGUUGGAUUUCUCUCUUACAUUUUACACAAAAAUUAACUCAAAAUGAAUCAUACCUAAAUGUAAGAGCUAAAACUGUAAAGCUCUUAGAAGAAAAUAUAGUAGUAAAAUAUAGGCUUUGCCUACCCCAGUAUCUUAGGUAUGAAACAAAGAACACAAAUGACAAAAAAAUAGGUAAAUUGGAUUUUAUGAAAACUAAAAACUUCAAAGAAUGUUAUCAAGAAAAUGAAAGGACAACUGACAAAAUGGGGAAAAAUAUCUGCAAAUCAUGUACCUGAUAAAGGACUUGUACCUAGAAUAUAUAAAGAACCAUUAAACUUAGUAAUGAUAAAACAAAUAACCCAAUUUUAACAUAAGCAAAGUAUCUCAAUAGAUAGUUCUCCAAAGAAGAUAUAUAAAUGGUCAAUAAGCACAUGGUAAGAUGCUCAAUAUCAUCAGCCAUUAGGCAAACGCAAAUCAAAACCACAAUGAAAUAUCACUUCACAUCUAUUAGGGUGAGAAUAAUUAAAAAGACUGAUAAUAACAAGUGUUGGUGAGGAUGUGGAGAAAUUGGAACCCUCAUACAUUUUUGGUGGGAAUGGAAAAUGACACAGCUGCUUUGGAAAACUGUCAGACAGUUCCUCAAAAGGUCCCACAUGCAUGUGACCCAGUAAUUCUACUCCUAGGUAUUAUAACCAAGAUAAAAGAAAAUGUAUGUUCAUACAAAAACUUGCACAUGUAUGUUCCUAGUAGCAUUGUUUAUGGUAGCAAAAACAUGGAAACAACUCAAAGAAGGAAUGGCUAAAUAAAAUGUGCUAUAUUCAUACAGUGGAAUAUUGUCUAGCGGUAAAAAGGAAUGAAGUACUGAUGUGUUCUAGAACACCAAUGAACCUUGAAAGCAUUAUGUUAAGUGAAAGAAGCCAGACACAGAAAAUCAUACUGCCCAUAAUUAGCAAAUCUUAUGGGGGUAGAAAGUAGAUUAGUGGUUGACUAGGGCUGGCGGGGUGAUGGUUGGAAGACAUAGGGAGAGACUGCUAAUAGAUCUGAAUUUUUGGUGGGGAGGGAUAAUGAAAUAGAUUGGGUGAUAGUUGCACAACUAUGUCAGUAUACAAAAAACCACAGAGCUGUACAUGUCAUGUGGGUGAAUUAUAUGGUAUAAAUUGUAUCUCAAUAAAGCUAUUAAAAAUGGG